rnacentral:misc_RNA from 1 species
UUGAAUUUGGGGUUUCCAUUUCUUUUUUGGGUCGUAAGAAAAGCGACUCCAUGAAAAUGAACUUUAAUCAAAAUGUAGUCCUUUAAAUAGGUAAAUAUUGAUUUGGGAAUUAUUUGAUGCAGAGACCUAGAGGAUUGAAGGCAAUGGGAAGUAUGGAAAGUGACUCAGAAUGAGAGUUUUAAUGGAUGCAAGAGUAUUUUGGUUUUUGAUGGUUAGAUAGGAGGGACAACUAGAAACAUGGUUUUUUUUUUUUUUUUU